rnacentral:tRNA from 1 species
GAGGGUGUACCGAAGCGGCUCAACGGCACAGAUUGCAACCCUGUUGUUCAGGAGUUCGAAUCUCCUCAUCCUCUUAU